UGGAGGCACUCUACUGGCCUACUUACUGUUCCCCACACAUAAAGAUACAUAAUCCAUCCCCUUGACUUUGUGUUGACUUUCUCCCAUGCCUGAAAAGUUCCCUCUCUGCAGCUCUACCUCUGUUUGGCUUCCUUUAAAUUUCAGCUCCAGCAUCACCUUCUGCAGAAAGUCUUCCCACUUUCCCCUUGGGCUAGAGUCUCCCCCUCAAAGACUUUCCUCAAACUACUCCAUAGACAUCUUGGAUGGAUCUGUUUCUCUCCUAUCAGAAGCUCUUUCUUGUAUGGCCUUGUCUCCAAACCAGUCUCCAUCAUGUCUACCCUUCUCUGGAUGUACUCAACUGAAUGUACCAUCUACUGUUGUGUACUACCUGUUGAGAGCAUUUAGAGCAUUGAUUCUGCCAUCUUUCAUUUCAAUCAUCUCUCCCAGGUUGGUAUCAUUUGUGAACUUAUCAAACAUGAUGUUUAUGUUUUUAUUCCAGUCAUUGAUGAAAAUAUUGUAUUUGAACAGGGUCAAGAACAGAAUCCUAGGGCACAAAAAU
rnacentral:lncRNA from 1 species